rnacentral:rRNA from 1 species
GGCCUAAUACAUGCAAGUCGAACGGUUGUCAGCAAUGACAAUAGUGGCGCACGGGUGCGUAACGCGUAACCAACCUACCUGAAUCUGGGGGAUAGCCCGCCGAAAGGCGGAUUAAUACCGCAUAAAACUGCAAUUCGGCAUCGGACAACAGUUAAAGAUUUAUUGGAUUCAGAUGGGGUUGCGUGUCAUUAGCUAGUUGGAGAGGUAACGGCUCACCAAGGCGACGAUGGCUAGGGGAGCUGAGAGGCUGGUCCCCCACACGGGCACUGAGAUACGGGCCCGACUCCUACGGGAGGCAGCAGUAGGGAAUAUUGGGCAAUGGUCGAGAGACUGACCCAGCCAUGCCGCGUGCAGGAUGAAGGCUUUCUGAGUCGUAAACUGCUUUUACCAGGGAAGAAAAAAGGGGAUGCGUCCUCUACUGACGGUACCUGGUGAAUAAGCACCGGCUAACUCCGUGCCAGCAGCCGCGGUAAUACGGAGGGUGCAAGCGUUGUCCGGAUUUAUUGGGUUUAAAGGGUGCGUAGGCGGCUGAUUAAGUCUGGGGUGAAAGCCCGUUGCUCAACAACGGAACUGCCCUGGAAACUGGUUAGCUUGAGUACAGACGAGGGUGGCGGAAUGGAUACUGUAGCGGUGAAAUGCAUAGAUAGUAUCCAGAACCCCGAUUGCGAAGGCAGCUGCCUAGACUGUAACUGACGCUGAGGCACGAAAGCGUGGGGAGCGAACAGGAUUAGAUACCCUGGUAGUCCACGCCGUAAACGAUGGAUACUCGCUGGUGGCGAUAGACGGUCACUGGCUUAGCGAAAGCGUUAAGUAUCCCACCUGGGGAGUACGCUCGCAAGAGUGAAACUCAAAAGAAUUGACGGGGGCCCGCACAAGUGGUGGAGCAUGUGGUUUAAUUCG